GAACUGUGGCUCAGUGGUUAAGGUGCUGAGUUAUUGAUCAGAAGGUUGUGGGUUCAAGUCCCAACACCA